UACGUAGGUGGCAAGCGUUGUCCGGAUUUACUGGGCGUAAAGAGCGCGCAGGCGGUCGUUCAAGUCGCGUGUGAAAGCCCCCGGCUCAACUGGGGAGGGUCACGCGAUACUGAUCGACUCGAAGGCAGGAGAGGGUAGUGGAAUUCCCGGUGUAGUGGUGAAAUGCGUAGAUAUCGGGAGGAAGGCCGGUGGCGAAGGCGGCGCUCUGGAACAUUUCUGACGCUGAGGCUCGAAAGCGUGGGGAGCAAACAGG
rnacentral:rRNA from 1 species